rnacentral:miRNA from 1 species
UGGCCAAAAAGUUCAUUCAGGUUUUUCCAUACAAUGUUACGAAAGACCCAACAAGCUUUUUGGCCAA